rnacentral:rRNA from 1 species
UACGUAGGGUGCGAGCGUUAAUCGGAAUUACUGGGCGUAAAGGGUGCGCAGGCGGUUUUUUAAGUCAGAUGUGAAAUCCCCGGGCUUAACCUGGGAACUGCGUUUGAAACUACAGAACUAGAGUGUAGCAGAGGGGGGUGGAAUUCCAUGUGUAGCAGUGAAAUGCGUAGAUAUAUGGAGGAACACCGAUGGCGAAGACAGCCCCCUGGGUUAACACUGACGCUCAGGCACGAAAGCGUGGGGAGCAAACAGG